rnacentral:RNase_P_RNA from 1 species
UGCAAUUUUUGGAUAAUCGCGUGAGAAUAUUUUAUUUUCAUGAGGAAAGUCCAUGCUAGCACGGGCUGUGACGCCCGUAGUGUUUGUGCUAGGUGAAACAAUAAGCCUAGGGACGGAAAUAUCCGUUACGGCGACUGAAAUGGCUAAGUCUCUCUGAUAAGUCAAACUAGGUCUGAAAGUGCCACAGUGACGUAGUUUUUGUGGAAACACAAGAAGUGGAACGCGGUAAACCCCUCAAGCUAGCAACCCAAACUUUGGUCGGGGCACGGAGUGCGUGGAAACGAACAUAGCAUUCUGACUGGAAACAGUAGACAGAUGAUUAUCGAAGGAAAUGAUACCUAGUUAUUUCUGGAACAAAACAUGGCUUAUAGAAAGUUGCAUAUA